rnacentral:lncRNA from 1 species
GGAGAGGAGGACCCUGGCAGCAAGUGUCACAGGCCCUGGUGGAAUUCCAGGUCAAAGAGGUAAACGUGGAGCAGGCUGCAACCAUGAUAGACUCCGCGUCAUAGGGGUCCUCAAUAGUGAGAGAGAGAAAAAGAACAGGAUGGGACAGUGGUCCCACAGGGUGCACACCUCACUACACUCAGAUAACCUGCGGGCAAUCACAGUAUUCCCACCCUCCCUUGCAGGGAGAAGAAGUGGAGGUGCUGACAGCCAGGGCGCAGGGGCACAAGGUAAACCAGUGAGGCGGGAUGUGGAUGGGGCUAGAGACCACGGUUCCACAGGAGCUCUCCUUGCCAAAGAUGACCGAGAGAGGACAGCAAUGACAUGGGUAAGGAAAACCAAGGCAAUGAACCCAGGGUCAGCAGACACUUCAGCCUCGGGGCAGCCACAACUUCAAGUACCAGCCCUGAUGCUCAGAACACCCCAAACGACAAGAUGGUAGAGACAAAAGCUGAGAAUUCAUCCACUCCUGAGGCUGAGCAGAAUGUGGCUGAGU